AUUUAGACAAUUCAAUCCUGUCUUCUCCACUAGGCUCCAUCAGACCACAGGUCAUAGUAAUCACUGCCUCCAACUGAGCUUUUGCUACUCAGUCAAUGGUAGGCACUGGCUGACAUAAGGUCUCAUUUGACACAGGAGAUUUAACCUUUGAAGUACAGGCUUUACCUGGCAGACACUAUGGAUCUGAUUCCAGACCACUGCAACAAAGUAGCACUAGCGGUAAAGAACCCACCUGCCAGUGCAGGAGACGUGAGACACGGGUCUUAUCCCCAGAUUGGGAAGUUACCCUGGAGGAGGGCAUGGCAACCCAUUCCAGUAUUCUUGUCUGAAGAAUCCGCAUGGACAGAGGAACCUGGAGGGCUACAGUCCAUAGGGUCACAAAGAAUU